AGUGGGAUAGGCGCUGCACUCAGA
rnacentral:miRNA from 1 species